rnacentral:lncRNA from 1 species
AAGAAUUUGUUGUUACACUAUAAAGUUCAUGGGAUAGAUAUUGGUCUUUGUGGAUUGUAGAACAUGUUCCAUCUUGAUAAUUACACGAGUACAAUGACUUGUGGUAUAAGAAGUACUUCGUAUAGAUUGAUACACUUGUGAAAUAGUGAAAAUACAUCGAUAUCAUAUUACAUGUCAGUAUACAAUGCUCUCUAUUGUUUAACGUAAUAAUAAUUUAUAAGUCAAAAUAGUUAACGCUAAUCAGCAUGACCUUAUACUGAUUGACCCACAUAAAAACAUUAACCCGUUAUGUUUCUCGCGGUCCAUCGAAAGAUUGAGUCUUUCUCAGGUUCCAAUGCAGGCCAUCAUGGAUGCUGUGCAAAAAGUCAUUGGUUGAAUCCCCUCUACAGGCUGUGGGUACCGGCCAAACCGACAUGCUACACACAAGUGCGUCACCUGGAGCCAACUGUUUCCUAUCUUUCCCGUCAAAUGAUGCCCAUGCAUGACCUCGACUGUUGAACGGAACUUGGAUCCGAAGUGUUACAUACUCGGGUAAUAUCAGAGGCCGGAAAGAUAAGGAAUGCGGACAGAUUGGAGUGAAUAAUAUGCCGGGAACCUGCAUGUUUUGUUUCAAGUCAUGUAAAGAAGUGAUUUAUGAAAAUAGAGUGCAAGCAGUAUUGUUUAAGAAUGAAGGGGAAACAUCGCAAAACGUACCUGUGGAUGGACCAUCGAACCUCCAGCCGCAAGCGAGUAAGCAGUGCUCCCUGAAGUUGUUGAUAAAAUCAAUCCGUCUCCUUGUACACAUGUGACAAAUGAGUUAUCACAAUAGCAUUCCAAAUUGGUAAGGAAUGAUGAAAUCCCACGGUCGAUCGUAACUUCAUUCAACACAAGUAUUGGCUCUUCAGUCUCAUAUUCGUUUUUAGCUGCUUCACGAAUCACAUGGCACUGCAAUCGAUUCCUAAGCGUAAUACUGAUGGGACCUUGUAGGAUUGAUUUCAAACAUUCUCUGUAUUGUUCACUAUAAGGAUACGAAAUGGAGUCAUGAAGCCCAAAGAACCCAUAGAGAAUGGCACGAUUGGAGGAACGGG